rnacentral:snoRNA from 2 species
CUGUUAGGGGAAUGAUGUAUUAUUAUCGGGCUCUUAAGAUGCUUGCUUUUCUUGAUUCUGCUUCUGAGAUGGACAUUAGGG